UGAUGUCUAGCUCAACUGGUAGAGCAGCGGACGGUUGCACCGCAAGAUCCUGGUUCGAUUCUGGGGGCAUCAGC
rnacentral:tRNA from 1 species